rnacentral:rRNA from 1 species
UGACUGCGUACCUUUUGUAUAAUGGGUCAGCGACUUAUAUUCUGUAGCAAGGUUAACCGAAUAGGGGAGCCGAAGGGAAACCGAGUCUUAACUGGGCGUUAAGUUGCAGGGUAUAGACCCGAAACCCGGUGAUCUAGCCAUGGGCAGGUUGAAGGUUGGGUAACACUAACUGGAGGACCGAACCGACUAAUGUUGAAAAAUUAGCGGAUGACUUGUGGCUGGGGGUGAAAGGCCAAUCAAACCGGGAGAUAGCUGGUUCUCCCCGAAAGCUAUUUAGGUAGCGCCUCGUGAAUUCAUCUCCGGGGGUAGAGCACUGUUUCGGCAAGGGGGUCAUCCCGACUUACCAACCCGAUGCAAACUGCGAAUACCGGAGAAUGUUAUCACGGGAGACACACGGCGGGUGCUAACGUCCGUCGUGAAGAGGGAAACAACCCAGACCGCCAGCUAAGGUCCCAAAGUCAUGGUUAAGUGGGAAACGAUGUGGGAAGGCCCAGACAGCCAGGAUGUUGGCUUAGAAGCAGCCAUCAUUUAAAGAAAGCGUAAUAGCUCACUGGUCGAGUCGGCCUGCGCGGAAGAUGUAACGGGGCUAAACCAUGCACCGAAGCUGCGGCAGCGACGCUGAUGCGUUGUUGGGUAGGGGAGCGUUCUGUAAGCCUGUGAAGGUGUGCUGUGAGGCAUGCUGGAGGUAUCAGAAGUGCGAAUGCUGACAUAAGUAACGAUAAAGCGGGUGAAAAGCCCGCUCGCCGGAAGACCAAGGGUUCCUGUCCAACGUUAAUCGGGGCAGGGUGAGUCGACCCCUAAGGCGAGGCCGAAAGGCGUAGUCGAUGGGAAACAGGUUAAUAUUCCUGUACUUGGUGUUACUGCGAAGGGGGGACGGAGAAGGCUAUGUUGGCCGGGCGACGGUUGUCCCGGUUUAAGCGUGUAGGCUGGUUUUCCAGGCAAAUCCGGAAAAUCAAGGCUGAGGCGUGAUGACGAGGCACUACGGUGCUGAAGCAACAAAUGCCCUGCUUCCAGGAAAAGCCUCUAAGCAUCAGGUAACAUCAAAUCGUACCCCAAACCGACACAGGUGGUCAGGUAGAGAAUACCAAGGCGCUUGAGAGAACUCGGGUGAAGGAACUAGGCAAAAUGGUGCCGUAACUUCGGGAGAAGGCACGCUGAUAUGUAGGUGAAGUCCCUCGCGGAUGGAGCUGAAAUCAGUCGAAGAUACCAGCUGGCUGCAACUGUUUAUUAAAAACACAGCACUGUGCAAACACGAAAGUGGACGUAUACGGUGUGACGCCUGCCCGGUGCCGGAAGGUUAAUUGAUGGGGUCAGCGCAAGCGAAGCUCUUGAUCGAAGCCCCGGUAAACGGCGGCCGUAACUAUAACGGUCCUAAGGUAGCGAAAUUCCUUGUCGGGUAAGUUCCGACCUGCACGAAUGGCGUAAUGAUGGCCAGGCUGUCUCCACCCGAGACUCAGUGAAAUUGAACUCGCUGUGAAGAUGCAGUGUACCCGCGGCAAGACGGAAAGACCCCGUGAACCUUUACUAUAGCUUGACACUGAACAUUGAGCCUUGAUGUGUAGGAUAGGUGGGAGGCUUUGAAGUGUGGACGCCAGUCUGCAUGGAGCCGACCUUGAAAUACCACCCUUUAAUGUUUGAUGUUCUAACGUUGACCCGUAAUCCGGGUUGCGGACAGUGUCUGGUGGGUAGUUUGACUGGGGCGGUCUCCUCCUAAAGAGUAACGGAGGAGCACGAAGGUUGGCUAAUCCUGGUCGGACAUCAGGAGGUUAGUGCAAUGGCAUAAGCCAGCUUGACUGCGAGCGUGACGGCGCGAGCAGGUGCGAAAGCAGGUCAUAGUGAUCCGGUGGUUCUGAAUGGAAGGGCCAUCGCUCAACGGAUAAAAGGUACUCCGGGGAUAACAGGCUGAUACCGCCCAAGAGUUCAUAUCGACGGCGGUGUUUGGCACCUCGAUGUCGGCUCAUCACAUCCUGGGGCUGAAGUAGGUCCCAAGGGUAUGGCUGUUCGCCAUUUAAAGUGGUACGCGAGCUGGGUUUAGAACGUCGUGAGACAGUUCGGUCCCUAUCUGCCGUGGGCGCUGGAGA